rnacentral:misc_RNA from 1 species
GAACAUGAUUUGAGUAGGUAAUUUUAGCCUUGUGGCCAGCACAAUAAAAUUAGAUAUUUGAAUUUGUAAGAGGCUUCAAAGAUUCAAUCUUCUCUAACAUAAAAUAAUGCAAAACAAUUGUAUUUUUUUUGGAGAGGAUGAGCUUUAAAUAAUAGCAUUAAAUGUUCUUACUCAGAAACUCAAUUAUUUAAUAGGGAACGAAAGGUUAAUAUCUACAACAAAGAGCUGUUACUUCACAUAAUAACCAUUAUGAUUCCAG